UUUGCACAAGUUGGCCCAAACAUAACAAGAGAAUGAAAAUAUUGUCAAACACAAUCAUAAUUACAUUAUUGAAGGAUAACCAUAUUCCACAUUAAAUUCCUUCUCUUAGAUCAUCAACUUCUACCAUACCUUCAUUCCAUGAAAAGCAAAUGGAGUUUAACUAUUCAAUGGUGAUACAAAUAAGUGGGGACACAUACUAUGGAUCAUAAUCUAGUAAGGCACAAAGCAUCUCGCGUUAGCAGGACCGGAGAAGUUAUACCAUAAAUCUAAGUCUCAAUCCCACCUUUUUGAGUCCCCAAAAAAUACCCUUCUUAAUAAUCAAAGUCAAAUAAUGUCUUCCCUUCUAAUAUCUAUACUUCAACUUCAAUGAUGUGCACUUUCUGAUCUGCUGGAGGCAUAGCAUCAAGAUUCAAAGUUAACAAACCAGAUUCUGAGUUAUAGGCAAAAUCAACCAUAUCUCCACCCACACUGCACUUCCUCGGCUUGACAGAUGAGUAAACACCAAAUCGGCCACAUCCCCUUACUUCCAUCGACACUACUGCAACUGCUUCUGUGCUCAAGUUCUCAAUUUUAUCUUCAGCCACAAGAUUUCCUUCACCUUGAUAUCCAGCCUCGAGUUCAGACAAUUCUGCGCCUGCCUUCACCUCGUAUUUUAGUCCUUCAAUUGCCCCACCAGCAUUGUACAUAUCAAUAAGCCCCAAAGGUGCAAAGCUGAAGCCAGGAGCCAAGACCUUAAUAGGCGUGACAGUGUAUGUCUCGUGCUCAAGGAUCUUAAAAGAAACAGGCAUUGCUGCAUUAUACGGGAGAACAACAAGCUCAGCACUUCCAUGAGAGUAAAGAACUGUGUCUCCACUCCAGUUGGGGUCCAAGGCAGCUUCAGAUAUGAAAUGGACAUCACAGCCCCUGAUAUAGCCUGUUAUCGCCUCUGAGUUGGUUUUGUGGAAUGUGGUCUUCCUCUCAACCGUGCUCCACGCAGCACCUUGGCAGUUGUAUAUUCCAAGAACACCAGUGUAUUUGUUCA
rnacentral:misc_RNA from 1 species